rnacentral:lncRNA from 1 species
GAAGGCAAGGGAGCAUGGCGGCGGCUGUGUCGAUUGGAGAGACAUGGGAGUGUGUUGCGGCCAUCUCCGUGUCAAAGAUGAUGGACACAUAAUGCUGAGUGAUAAAAUUCUUCUGGUAUUUAUCUCUAAUUCCUUCCAACUGUUUCAACCACCAGUUCGUGUCCUACGAACAAUUGCCGCCUCAUACUCCCGGUAUCCCUAUUUGGUCCUUCAGGUCACUCCCGUGCUGCAUACCGUCUCCCUCCGCGCAUCUUCCAACCACGUGUGUACCUACAGACCUGGUCAACGUAAUCACCCUCCUUCUCUCAACCUAGCCAUGCGUGCUGAUCGGAUCAUGCCAAGGAGACUCAAGUCCCUAGCAAUUUUUGUUUUAUUGGUACGUAUACGUUCUAUUUGAGUAAUCUUAUCUCUGGAUGACAGGGGACGCUAUGAGCAAAGUAGCAUAAAGCCUUAUUAUAGGCUUUAUCAUUCCAAGUGCUAUCCAUGUGAUUCGCCAUCCUUUGAUGAAAACAGAAAUAAAAUUAUUAUGUUCCACCU